AUGCAUGCAGGCAUAGAGGAGGUCUUUCCGUUGGCAGUGCACAGGCACUGUAGGUGGCACAUUAUAAAGAAGGCUGAGGAGACGCUAGGACCGUUCUUUGCUGAUCGUCCAGAGCUGCACAAGGCAUUCGAGCUGUGCAUGGACCAUAGCUUAACGGUGGAGGAGUUUGAAAGGAGCUGGAUGGCUAUGAUUGAAACACAUCAAGUCCAAGACAACGAGACGCUUGCUAGCCUAUGGGAGAAGCGAAUGUACUGGGUGCCGGCCUACUUCAUGCAGUGCUUCUUCCCGUUUCUGCAGACUACGCAGCGCAGCGAGGGGUUCAAUGUUGUUUUGAAGUGGUACGUGAGCCCUGGCAACUCAUUGCUACAGUUUGCCAAGCAAUACGCCGCUUUGCAACAAAAAAUACUAGGAUCUGAGCUACAACAAGAAGCGAACACUGCGCUAAAGCAGCCAAAAUUGCUAACCUAUUUACCGAAGGAGAGGCAGAUGAGCAAGAUAUACACCAACAAGAUCUUUAACAAGUAA
rnacentral:rRNA from 1 species